AUAUGCUUGUCUCAAAGAUUAAGCCAUGCAUGUCUAAGUUCACACUGUCUCACGGUGAAACCGCGAAUGGCUCAUUAAAUCAGUCGAGGUUCCUUAGAUGACACGAUCCUACUUGGAUAACUGUGGCAAUUCUAGAGCUAAUACAUGCCUAUGAAGCUCCGACCCUCGUGGAAAGAGCGCUUUUAUUAGUUCAAAACCAAUCGCCGGUCGUCUUCGGGCGGCCGGUGUCCCCAUUGGUGACUCUGGAUAACUUUGUGCUGAUCGCAUGGCCUUCGCGCCGGCGACGCAUCUUUCAAAUGUCUGCCCUAUCAAAUGUCGAUGGUACGUGAUAUGCCUACCAUGUUUGUAACGGGUAACGGGGAAUCAGGGUUCGAUUCCGGAGAGGGAGCAUGAGAAACGGCUACCACAUCCAAGGAAGGCAGCAGGCGCGCAACUUACCCACUCCCGGCACGGGGAGGUAGUGACGAAAAAUAACAAUACGGGACUCUCUACGAGGCUCCGUAAUUGGAAUGAGUACACUUUAAACCCUUUAACGAGUAUCUAUUGGAGGGCAAGUCUGGUGCCAGCAGCCGCGGUAAUUCCAGCUCCAAUAGCGUAUAUUAAAGUUGUUGCAGUUAAAAAGCUCGUAGUUGGAUCUCAGGUGCAGGCGGACGGUCCGGCUCGCGCCGGUUCACUGUCCGUAUUUCCUGCCCUACUGGUCUGCCGGCUCUCUCCCGUGGGUGCUCUUUGCUGAGCGUCCCGGGUGGCCGGCGCGUUUACUUUGAAAAAAUUAGAGUGUUCAAAGCAGCCUCGGCUGCCUGAAUAAUGGUGCAUGGAAUAAUGGAAUAGGACCUCGGUUCUAUUUUGUUGGUUUUCGGAACUGGAGGUAAUGAUUAAAAGGGACAAACGGGGGCAUUCGUAUUGCGGCGUUAGAGGUGAAAUUCUUGGAUCGCCGCAAGACGAGCUACUGCGAAAGCAUUUGUCAAGAAUGUUUUCAUUAAUCAAGAACGAAAG
rnacentral:rRNA from 1 species